rnacentral:misc_RNA from 1 species
CACAAGCACUGCACAGGACAGUACUUUGAUUAUUGGUCUUGUGUUGAUAAAUGUGUUGCACCAAAAUUAUUCUCAAAACUGAAGUAAUUGAGAGGCUUUUGGGGCAGCUCAUUCGUUAUGUUUGAACUUUGUACUCUUUGCAACAUCAGCUGAAUUUUGUCAGAAGUUNNNNNGUCUUGGAUUGCUUGAAGCAUCCCUUAAUAAUUGUGAAACCUUUAUUCUAAAGUCAAAAAG